ensembl:lncRNA Cep152 centrosomal protein 152
CUUUCACAGGGUUUGCCUCAGAGUGUCAGAAAACAGUUAUUUACAUUAGAAUUCAUAAAUAGCAAAAGCACAGUUAUGAAGUAGCAAUGAAACAAUUUAAUGGUUGUAGGUCACCAUAGCAAUGAGGAACUGUAUCAGAGUCACAGGAAGGAAGGUUGAGAACCACUGCUAGAGGCAAGGAACUUAGAACCCAAGCAGAGUUCUGAGAUCCCUGAAGAUAGGGACCGUGACACUGUGUCUGCCUUCCAUAAGGAUUCAUUCUCAAGAUCAGACUCUUGAGAAUGGUUUUUGUCACCACGAAAUAAUAGAGCUGGUGCUUGCAUGCACAUGUGUCUGGGGAACCGUUCUUGCCUGAGGAAAGUGUGUCCUCAAAGAGCAUGGGGCAGACGUUCAUGUGGAAAUGGGGGAUCCCUUUGCGCUUUGAAGCAGUAAAUGAUAGGACAAGAAGGGAAACAACUCGCCCAGGACAAAGUACUCUUCUCACAGCUGACUGCAGUAUUUACCUACAAGUGCGUGUUGCCCGGAGAACGUAUGCACUCGGAUGCUCACCAACUCACCCAGGGGAGGCAUGAGGAAAUUGGAAGUCAAGUUUAAAAAGAGCAGGCCUCUACGAGAUAAUAGCAAAACACAGAGAAAUAAAAUAUACUAAGACAAUACAAAACGCAUACAGUGAAGAUGGACAAGACUACAGAAAAAGAAGAGUCCCAAGAGCAGACACAAGAGUCAGAGAUACGCGGGUUCAGAAACCCCCAUAAAACGCAUUUAUAUUAAUAUAUAUUAAACCACUCUUGAAUUCCUAAAAUAAACCGUUAA